GUUUGGUCCAUAGUGAGUUAUCUCAAUUGAUUAUUCAGUCAGUUAUAGAUCGAACUCCUUGUUCUACUCUUUUUCCCCUUAUCCCUACUACACUUGACUAGUCUUAA
rnacentral:Y_RNA from 1 species